GGGUACAUGGUCUAGUGGUAUGAUUUUCGCUUCGCAUAGUGUUCACACAACUGCCCUGUGAAAGGUCCCCGGUUCAAUCCCGGGUGUAUCCA